CCCUAUGCUAACAGAGCCUUUGAGUGGGAGGGAAGGAAAAUGUUGGUGUCUCCCCAUGGCCUCCAACAGUGAGGGGCCAGGGAACAGCAGGAACUUUUACAGUGAAGAAAUCUCUUCAAAAGUAGCUUUUAUUCUCACUGACCACCACAAGAGUUGCUGACAGCCCCUGGUUGCUGUCAGCCAACAAGGUUUAGCAAAGACCAGGAGCCUGAGCUGAUUCCCUCGUGCCUGGAUGCUGCCCUGUGUGUUUUGUCCCCGUGUUGUCAGCUCCCAGGCCAUGGACAGUGGCACAGUGGGGAUUUAAUGUCACCUGAGAUCUCAGCAACAGAAGGACAAAGGUUACUGUGUUCUCUGCAUCCUGCUGCCUUGGGGAGAUGGAAGACAAGGAGCAGACACCUUCUGUUUGGUUUCCCCCUAAUGGAGAGGGGAACAAGGGAGGUGACCUGACAGCUCUUGACAGUGAGAGGGAGAUGGAGUUGCCUGUGUCAGGAAAAAAAUAGACUCUCCUGCAAGAAUCAGGGGCUAGGAAGACAAAAAAAUAAGCAUUUUCUAUAUAUUACAAACAAAACUAUCUGCCAAAAGGGCAAGAUAAUUAUCCUAAUGUGAUUUUUGACCAAGAUAAAUUCACAUUAUUUUAUAAACUGGGUAACAAUUUGAAUCUUAUGCAAAACCUAGAAAUAAAUCUAAAAAAUAUGAUAAUGUAAUAAAAUUGAAAUUAUUAGCAGUCCAAGUGGCAUA